CAGCAUGUCGCGUGAGUGAAGAAGGCCCUUGGGUCGUAAAGCUCUUUUAUGGGGGAAGAUGAUGACGGUACCCCAAGAAUAAGCACCGGCUAACUAUGUGCCAGCAGCCGCGGUAAUACAUAGGGUGCGAGCGUUGUUCGGAAUUACUGGGCGUAAAGGGCGCGCAGGCGGAAUAGUAAGUCGGAGGUGAAAGCCCGGGGCUCAACCCCGGAGGGUCUUUCGAAACUGCUAAUCUAGAGAGGGUCAGGGGCCGGCAGAAUUCCUGGUGUAGAGGUGAAAUUCGUAGAUAUCAGGAGGAAUACCGGUGGCGAAGGCGGCCGGCUGGGGCCACUCUGACGCUGAGGCGCGAAAGCGUGGGGAGCAAACAGGAUUAGAUACCCUGGUAGUCCACGCCGUAAACGAUGAGCACUGGACGUCCGGAGGGUUCGACC
rnacentral:rRNA from 1 species